rnacentral:rRNA from 1 species
CCUACGGGUGGCAGCAGUGAGGAAUAUUGGUCAAUGGGCGUAAGUCUGAACCAGCCAAGUCGCGUGAAGGAUGACUGCCCUAUGGAUUGUAAACUUCUUUUAUAUGGGAAUAAAACGUUCCACGUGUGGGAUUUUGUAUGUACCAUAUGAAUAAGGAUCGGCUAACUCCGUGCCAGCAGCCGCGGUAAUACGGAGGAUACGAGCGUUAUCCGGAUUUAUUGGGUUUAAAGGGUGCGUAGGCGGGCCUGAAAGUCAGCGGUAAAAGCCCGGGGCUCAACCCCGGCGAGCCGUUGAAACUGUCGGACUAGAGAAGGUGUGAAGCACGCGGAAUGCGUGGUGUAGCGGUGAAAUGCAUAGAUAUCGCGCAGAACCCCGAUUGCGAAGGCAGCGUACC